AUCCUGGCUCAGAGCGAACGUUAGCGGCGGGCCUAACACAUGCAAGUCGAACGCGAAAGGUCUUCGGACUGAGUAGAGUGGCGCACGGGUGAGUAACACGUAGGUAAUCUACCCUUUGGCGGGGGAUAACGUUCCGAAAGGAGCGCUAAUACCGCAUAAGACCACGGAGUCUCCGGACGCUGUGGGAAAAGGUGGCCUCUUCUUGAAAGCUACCACCGAAGGAUGAGCCUGCGUCCCAUCAGCUAGUUGGUAAGGUAAUGGCUUACCAAGGCGAAGACGGGUAGCUGGUUUGAGAGAAUGAUCAGCCACACUGGCACUGGAACACGGGCCAGACUCCUACGGGAGGCAGCAGUGAGGAAUAUUGGGCGAUGGGCGAAAGCCUGACCCAGCCACGCCGCGUGAGUGAUGAAGGCCCUCGGGUCGUAAAGCUCUGUGGAGAGGGACGAAAACCCUGGUUUCAAAUAGGCUCCAGGCUUGACGGUACCUCUUUAGCAAGCACCGGCUAACUCUGUG
rnacentral:rRNA from 1 species